GCUGUGGUAGCUCAGUGGUUACAGCUUUGUGUUGCAGAUAAAAAGGUCAUGUGUUCAAAUCCCAGCACCACUG